CAGCAGCCGCGGUAAUACGAAGGGUGCAAGCGUUAAUCGGAAUUACUGGGCGUAAAGCGUGCGUAGGCGGUUUGUUAAGUCUGCUGUGAAAUCCCCGGGCUCAACCUGGGAAUGGCAGUGGAUACUGGCAAGCUAGAGUGUGUCAGAGGAUGGUGGAAUUCCCGGUGUAGCGGUGAAAUGCGUAGAGAUCGGGAGGAACAUCAGUGGCGAAGGCGGCCCCCUGGACAAAGACUAACGCUCAGGUGCGAAAGCGUGGGGAGCAAACAGGAUUAGAUACCCGCGUAGUCCCUGUCUCUUAUAA
rnacentral:rRNA from 1 species